UUUGACAUGUACUUUUCCCACUGAUUUUUGUAUUAGCUCCAUCACCAGCAAUUUCACUCUGUGGGGGAAGUUCGGAGAGUUUUUUGGUCCAAAAGUACACACAUGAUGGUGGGCCCUAUGUUGUGGUCGUCACCUCUGUUUAGGUGCCUUGACCUCUGUCACGAUUAGCGCUAGCAGGAUUUAUGCCAAUCCAGAUGACCAACAUGUCUCUUUCGUAAGGGAGCGGUUCUCAGCUUUUUCCACAAAGGUCGUCGCUCUUGAAGGUACUUCUGCCUCACAAUUGCGACCUGAAGAUGCCAUGUUUGUUAAUCGGAUGACUAUUGAUGACUUGGUGGGAGCUACAUGCUCCGACGAAUUGAAGUGAGGAGAUUCAUGAGGCGGAUGUUGCUGUAUGUAUUGCGGAGGCCCGUGUACCACAAACUAAUACCUUUAAAUACUUGGGUUCUAUCAUUCAGAGCAAUGGCGAUAUUUCUGCGGAUGUUACACAUCGUAUUUCGACAGGAUGGCUUCGUUGGCGGGCUUCUACAGGUGUGUUGUGUGAUAAGAGUGUACCUUUGAAGUUGAAGGGUAAAUUCUAUCGUGUAGCAAUCAGACCGUCAUUAUUAUAUGGUUCUGAGUGUUGGCCAUUGAGAAAGGCUCAGGAACGUAGGCUAGAGACAGCGGAGAUGCGUAUGUUGCGUUGGAUCUGUGGUAACACCAUGACAGAUCAUAUACCGAAUGAUACUUUUCGACGUCGUUUAGGUGUUGAGACUAUCUCUAAGAAGAUAAGGGAGGGACGUUUACGUUGGUAUGGACAUGUUCGGCGUAAAUGUAACUUAGCACCGGUUCGGAGAGUAGAACACAUUUCGGUUAGGGGCAAGAGAAAAAGGGGCCGGCCUCGUCGGACAUGGGCUAAUCAAUUAAGUUUGGACAUGGGAGCCUUAAAUCUCACAGGUGAUAUGACAUUAGAUAAGAAUGAUUGGAGACGCCGUAUACGAGUAGUUGAGACUCGGUCUCGUGGCUCACAGAGAUUAUGAGGGUAAUGGUGCUAUGUUUUAAGGGAAGGGUUCAGCUCAGUCAUUCCCAGAUGCAUUCGUGCCAAUCAAAACUGUUUGGGUAAGUCCCAUGUGAAGAAGGCCAUGGGCUCAGGUAUUAUAUUCUUAUUAUAGCACACACUGUUUUAUUUGUUGUGCACUAAGCCGGGGGUCUUCACGGAAACAACCUCUCUACUUUAAGGGUAGGGGCAAGGCUGCGUACAUCUUACCCUUCUCAGACCCUGCUCUAAGCGGGAUAUACUGAGUAUGUU